rnacentral:rRNA from 1 species
UACAGAGGGUGCGAGCGUUGCUCGGAAUUAUUGGGGCGUAAAGGGCGCGUAGGCGGUGCCACAAGUCACCUGUGAAAUCUCCGGGCUUAACUCGGAGCCUGCAGGCGAAACUGUGGUGCUGGAGUGUGGGAGAGGUGCGUGGAAUUCCCGGUGUAGCGGUGAAAUGCGUGAGAUAUCGGGAGGAACACCUGUGGCGAAAGCGGCGCACUGGACCAUAACUGACGCUGAUGCGCGGAAAGCUAGGGGA